GUUUGGUUAAGUUAGAAAGGGCGCACGGUGGAUGCCUUGACACUAGGAGUCGAUGAAGGACGGGACUAACGCCGAUAUGCUUCGGGGAGCUGUAAGUAAGCUUUGAUCCGAAGAUUUCCGAAUGGGGAAACCCACCAUACGUAAUGGUAUGGUAUCCUUAUCUGAAUACAUAGGGUAAGGAAGACAGACCCAGGGAACUGAAACAUCUAAGUACCUGGAGGAAGAGAAAGCA
rnacentral:rRNA from 1 species